GAUGAACGCUGACAGAAUGCUUAACACAUCAGCAAUUGGUUGGUGGCGGACGGGUGCGUAACGCGUAAAGAACUUGCCUCACAGCUAGGGACAACAUUUGGAAACGGAUGCUAAUACCUAAUACUGUGAGAGAGCUUUGCGUCCCAUCAGCUAGUUGGAGAGGUAACGGCUCACCAAGGCGAUGAUGGGUAGCCGGACUGGGAGGGUGAACGGCCACAAGUGGACGGAGACACGGCACUGAGUCAUACGGGAGGCAGGAGGGGGGAAUAGUGGAGCAUGGCCCAAAGUCGGAUACAGCAAUUAUGUGUGAAAGAUGAAGAUUUAGGACUGUAAAGUGCUUUGAGUUGGGAAGCGGUACCAAAAGAAGAAGUGACGGCUAAAUACGUGCCAGCAGCCGCGGUAAUAC
rnacentral:rRNA from 1 species